rnacentral:tRNA from 1 species
AGCUCAGUUGAGAGAGCGCCUGGUUUGCAACCAGGAGGUCGAGGGUUCGAGUCCCUCCAGCUCCA